AUGUUACCUUUGUUUUUCAGACCCUGGGUGGGGAAGUGUGGCGUGGUCCAGCAUAGCCCUGGCCAUCACUGGGGCUGCCUGACCUCAUCCUCUGGUUACCCCAAUCAUGUCCAGGUUCUUGUGGCCACUCUCCUUUCCAACGGCUGGGGCAUCCCUGGGCUGAUCCAGGGCAAGACUUCCCAGAGCCUGCUUCAGGGAGCUGGCCCGUCUCCCAGGCUGAUUCUGCAGGAUAGGAAAUGCGUAACCGACGGAAAACGCGCCUGGAAAACCAAGGGAUCAAAACAACAAGGGGUGUGGGGCUGCAUAGAAAACUGGAGCCACAGAAACCAGGAAGGGCGCCUUUCAGGACAGAAAGUGACGCAGGAGAACCUCCCCGGGCCCAGGUCUCGACGCGACCCCUCCCCCACGGCAGGAUUUCGGAUUCGAAUUGAGUCCUCGAAGCUCUGGGAGGCUAAAAAGGGGCAAAACGGUCCUUCAAUUCACUCAGCCAUUAGCACGAGAGAUUCACAGUCUUAUAGGUAUUUUAUAAAAAUAUAAAUAUGGGUACACUCUGUUGCCUUCACAACGCUGGAUACAUCGCCCUUUAAAAUUGGGUUUAUAACCAAGAUUCAAAAAAUACACCUAAAACUUGGCUUAAAAUAUGUUAAUAUUUUAUAUUCUGUCAUAAAUGUUAUGACAUUUAAUUGUGGCAAAUCCAUUUACUUUUUUUAAA
rnacentral:lncRNA from 1 species